GAAACGACUGCUAAGACUGGAUAGGAGAUAAGAAGGCAUCUUUUUAUUUUUAAAAGACCUAGCAAUAGGUAUGCUUAGGGAAGAGCUUGCGUCACAUUAGUUAGUUGGUGGGGUAAUGGCCUACCAAGACGAUGAUGGGUAGCCGGGCUGAGAGGUCGAACGGCCACAUUGGGACUGAGACACGGCCCAAAUUCCUACGGGAGGCAGCAGUAAGGAAUUUUCGGCAAUGGAGGAAACUCUGACCGAGCAAUGCCGCGUGAACGAUGAAGUAUUUCGGUACGUAAAGUUCUUUUAUUAGGGAAGAAAAGAUGGUGGAAAAACCAUUAUGACGGUACCUAAUGAAUAAGCCCCGGCUAACUAUGUGCCAGCAGCCGCGGUAAUACAUAGGGGGCAAGCGUUAUCCGGAAUUAUUGGGCGUAAAGGGUGCGUAGGCGGUUAAAUAAGUUUAUGGUCUAAGUGCAACGCUCAACGUUGUGAUGCUAUAAAAACUGUUUAGCUAGAGUUGGAUAGAGGCAAGUGGAAUUCCGUGUGUAGUGGUAAAAUGCGUAAAUAUACGGAGGAACACCAGAAGCGAAGGCGGCUUGCUGGGUCUUAACUGACGCUGAGGCACGAAAGCGUGGGGAGCAAACAGGAUUAGAUACCCUGGUAGUCCACGCCCUAAACGAUGAGUACUAAACGUUGGAUAAAACCAGUGUUGAAGUUAACACAUUAAGUACUCCGCCUGAGUAGUACGUACGCAAGUAUGAAACUUAAAGGAAUUGACGGGACUCCGCACAAGCGGUGGAUCAUGUUGUUUAAUUCGAAGGUACCCGAAAAACCUCACCAGGUCUUGACAUGCUUUUGCAAAGCUGUAGAAAUACAGUGGAGGUUAUCAGAAGCACAGGUGGUGCAUGGUUGUCGUCAGCUCGUGUCGUGAGAUGUUGGGUUAAGUCCCGCAACGAGCGCAACCCUUGUUGUUAAUUGCCAUCAUUAAGUUGGGGACUUUAGCAAGACUGCCAAUGAUAAAUUGGAGGAAGGUGGGGACGACGUCAAAUCAUCAUGCCCCUUAUGACCUGGGCUACAAACGUGAUACAAUGGCUGUUACAAAGGGUAGCUAAAGCGUAAGCUUCUGGCGAAUCUCAAAAAAGCAGUCUCAGUUCGGAUUGAAGUCUGCAACUCGACUUCAUGAAGUUGGAAUCGCUAGUAAUCGCGAAUCAGCAUGUCGCGGUGAAUACGUUCUCGGGGUUUGUACACACCGCCCGUCAAA
rnacentral:rRNA from 1 species